rnacentral:lncRNA from 1 species
CAAUAGAGUCGAAUCACAGUCCAAACAAGGCAGUUAAGGGGCAUCUAUACAAAUUCAAUUUUGCAAGAUGAUGUUGUUGAUUGUUGAACACAGAGACAGUACAAAUUGAUACAGAUAGAAAGCCAAGUCAUUCUCAUCUCAUCUCAUCUAUGUAUCUGUCCUGCAAAUGGGGCUUUUUGGCCUGGUUUGCACUUGCACUUUACAGCAUGCCAUAGAGUAGUAAUAUAGGUUCAAGUGCAGCAGAGCUUUCAGUGGAGCCGUGGGAAGACUCGGGAGCACGCAACUACAAAGAACUGAGAAAAAAUUUGAAGCCGAAAGGAUACGGAUACAACAAAAGUGAAGCAGGCAGGCAGGGGAUAAUUGGGGCCCAAAAUUCCUGUCUCAAGAAAUGGUCCUACAUUUUGCUUUCCCACUACAGCCAUCCAUUGAUCGAUGGAUGGAUCUGUCCUUAGUCAGCAGUCGCGUCCGUCACCCUUGUUUGACUCCGAGGCCACAACUUCUUCUCCCCCUCUGAGUCACUCUGUCUCCACAGUUGCCUGUCUCUAUCUGCAGUCUGUAACGAGCUCAGAUCCCCAUGAAUGAAUGAAUGAUGAUGAUGAUAAUCCAGUCUCGGCCAUCUCCGUGUUUUCCGUGCCUCUCUGAUUUUAAUCUGAUGCCUAUCUUAGCACCCGUACU